rnacentral:rRNA from 2 species
UACGUAGGGUCCAAGCGUUAAUCGGAAUUACUGGGCGUAAAGCGUGCGCAGGCGGUUGUGCAAGACCGAUGUGAAAUCCCCGGGCUUAACCUGGGAAUUGCAUUGGUGACUGCACGGCUAGAGUGUGUCAGAGGGGGGUAGAAUUCCACGUGUAGCAGUGAAAUGCGUAGAGAUGUGGAGGAAUACCGAUGGCGAAGGCAGCCCCCUGGGAUAACACUGACGCUCAUGCACGAAAGCGUGGGGAGCAAACAGG